UACGAAGGGGGCUAGCGUUGUUCGGAAUUACUGGGCGUAAAGCGCACGUAGGCGGACAUUUAAGUCAGGGGUGAAAUCCCAGAGCUCAACUCUGGAACUGCCUUUGAUACUGGGUGUCUGGAGUAUGGAAGAGGUGAGUGGAAUUCCGAGUGUAGAGGUGAAAUUCGUAGAUAUUCGGAGGAACACCAGUGGCGAAGGCGGCUCACUGGUCCAUUACUGACGCUGAGGCGCGAAAGCGUGGGGAGCAAACAGG
rnacentral:rRNA from 1 species